rnacentral:rRNA from 1 species
UACGUAGGGGGCAAGCGUUGUCCGGAAUCAUUGGGCGUAAAGAGCGUGUAGGCGGUUCGGUAAGUCCGCUGUGAAAGUCCAGGGCUCAACCCUGGAAAGCCGGUGGAAACUGUCGAGCUAGAGUCCGGAAGAGGCGAGUGGAAUUCCUGGUGUAGCGGUGAAAUGCGCAGAUAUCAGGAGGAACACCAAUGGCGAAGGCAGCUCGCUGGGACGGUACUGACGCUGAGGCGCGAAAGCUAGGGGAGCAAACAGG